AUGAGGAUGAUUCAAACAGCCAGCUGUCCCAGCACUGAGGAGGAAACACCAUGAUAUGUUGAGGACAGCUACAGUUCACUGACUCUGUGUGUUUGCAUAUCUGUCCUGCCUCUCUGCUCCCAGCCGUUAAGAGGCCAGUGUUGAUCAGUGGCUGUCCAGGCCUUUCAGAGCCACUGACACGCCGGCAGCACAAUGAUGAUGUCACUGAUUCCACUGCUGGCCACCCUGGGGCUCCUUGUUCAGAGUUCAUCAGGACAAAUCGUCCUGACUCAGUCUCCUGGAUCUCAGUCUGUUGUUCCAGGACAGACUGUCUCUCUCAGAUGUAAAACCAGUUCAAGUGUUAGUAGCAGUGGUUACAGCUACCUCCACUGGUACCUUCAGAAACCUGGAGAAGCUCCUAAACUCCUGAUUUAUUACGCUACAACCCUUCAGUCUGGAGUUCCAGGUCGUUUUAGUGGAAGUGGAUCUGGGACUGACUUCACUCUGACCAUCAGUGGAGUUCAGGCGGAAGAUUCAGGAGUUUACUACUGUCAGCAGGGUCGCAGCUACCCGUUCACACAGUGAUACGUCGUACAAAAACCUCCCUCAGCUGGAGAGGAACUGAUCUGACUCAACAGCUGCACUGAAACUAAAACAACAGAGGUUUGACAGCAACACAUUUAUUAAUAAAGACAAUGAAUACUUCUCUAAGUCUAAACGCACAUAGCAAGGAUGUAAUUUUAUCAUUAUAGAUAUGUAAAAUUUAAAUAAACAGCACUUUUUGACAGCAACAUUUUGAGUAAACAUUUACAUUUUUCUUUGUAAACAGCAAACUCAGUUCAGAUUAACAAAAAAUUGAAAUGUAAGAAAAAAACUAUUAAAAAUAAUUUGGUACUGAUAUCAGUGUUGCAGUCAAAUAAAAAAUUCUAAGACAACAAAAUAAACUUUACCUGAAACAUGUUAUCCAACAAAAACAGUUUAGUGGUUGGUGCAUUUGAUUCAUAUAAUUUCAGUAUUGUGUGUUCAAACAUACUGUUACUGCUGACAGUCAAAUUCCCAACCAUCAGCUGUUCCUCCUCCACCCUCUCAAACUAAAGCUGUCCCGUCUGGUUCAGUCCAAACACAGACACACACUACACUUGUUCUGCUCUGUCAUCUAACACAUCAUGGCUGCCAGCUUUUUACAAAUGAGCUCCAGUCUUCUAGCACUGACAUGUAGCGAGGAACACAGCAAGGACGGCCUUUGAUAGCACUUUAACUUGUUUCAGUGCGUGAACCCCUCCUAUAGUCAGGACAUUUACAUGGUAAUGUUUUAGGGGUUGAAGCUGAGGACCAAAUGUGGUUGACAUCAUUUCAUGCUCAGUUUUUGCUAGUCAUGUUUAUUCCCAAGAUAUAGCAUGUAAAAAUGAUCUUCCUCAACUAUCUUCACUAAAAUAAAAAUAUGUAUAUG